rnacentral:tRNA from 1 species
UUGUUGCUGGAUCGUGGUUUGGAACUGGCUGUUCUCGCCGGUCAGCUUUUCCAAUAGUUGCCGAAGUUCGGCGUUUUCGGCAGCGGCCC